UAACAGAUGAUCUGGCUAAGGAGUUCAACUGGCAGGGGAGAGGAGAUAAAAGAGCCUUCUCUCACCUUUGUCUAACAGAUGUGAUCAGAGAUGCUGCAUUCAAACGAAGUGUAAACAGGGCUGACUGUGAAACUGAAAUAAAAAAAUAUUUGAGUUACACAGCUGAUCGACUCAGUCGGAAGAGACCAAGAGAACAAGGAGGUCCUGUGCACGAGAAUCCAAAUGUGAUUUCUACCUCACUGAUGGAAAACCAGCCAGAGAUGGAAAUACCCUACAAUUUUGAUUUUUGAGUUUUUGAUCAUCAGUCAUAGGUCAUGAAGACCCACUUUCAAAUUAAGCAAUUUUUUUUUUUUUUUUUACAUUUAUUUCUCUUUGACAUUACUUAAUGAAUUGUCAUUGUUUUCAGUUAUAUGCCAGCAGGUGGGACUUGCAUGCAUGUCUGAUCCAAAUAACUAAAAGAUUAUAUAUAUAUAUAUAUAUAUUCUAAAUUAAGUACUAUUUUUUUUUUUUACUUUAUUAUUUCUCUUGUACAUUACUUAAUGAUUGUCAUGUUUCUAGUUAUUAUGCCAGCAGUGGGACUUGCAUGCAUGUCUGAUCCAAUAACUAAAAGAUUAUAUAUAUAUAUAUAUAUAUUAAUGUAGCUUAUAUCUGUCUUUUCCACUGUUUCAUUCAAAAUAAACCAGAAUUACAGAUCUCUCCUCUCUACCAGUGCAGGAUUUUUAGAUAACUAAUCUGACACUAGUGAAUUUACUGUAUUUAUGUUCAAAAUGAAAGAUACACCUAUUAUGUUUUUUGCUGGCUCCCAUCCCAGUGAUUUUGGAUGUCAUACUGACACCUUCUUGUACUUCUGUUAGCACAGAAUGCCAGACAAUUACCUCAGUUAUAUUUGUAUUUUUUUAUUUAUCUUUUAACUAUAAACAUUUCUUACCUGUUUUCACGCUGAGAACACGUAUUUUGAUCUCUUUCUGUCAAACAAUACAGAUAUGUUAAAUGAAAUGUUUGGUCAGUGAGUGUAGUUCAUGAAAUGUGUCUUAGCAACUCAGAAAACUGUUUGAAAUGCUAGCAGUGCUGAAAACAGAAUUUCAAACUCAUUAAUUUAACUGGUUCAAAAAUAAUAACAACUAUCCUCUGGAAAGUCAGAAGAAGAAAUUACCAACAAGAUUGUCACCUUGACUUACAAAAAAACACAUCAAAAUGACAUAAAUUAAAGAAACUUUGGCCCAGGUCGCAUCAGUGGGCAAAAGCAUCAGGGUUCUGACGACACCCCUUUGGGGAGUGUGCAGCAAACUCCUUGUGGACUGAGUGGACUGAAUUGGUGGGUUUUUGUUAAAUGUGAGCCAAAAUCAUCACAAUUAAAAGAACCAAAGACUUAAACUACUUCAGUCUGUGCACACUGAAUUUAAUACACAAGUUUCACAAUUUGAGUCGAAUUACUGAAAUAAAUUAACUUUUCCAUGACAUUCUAAUUUAUUGAGAUGCACCUGUACAUUACACACUCUGUGCAUGGUUGCAAGACAAGUUUUUGUGUCUCUUUGUUGGCAAAUACAUACCUUUUUUGUCUUUUCAUAUAUACAUGACUUUUUUUUUCAUAUUCACACUUCAUUCAUUCUGUAUAUGUUAAAGUGAUACUCCACCCCAAAAUGAAUUUUCUUUCAUUAAUCACUUAUCCCCAUGUCGUUCCAAACCCGUAAAAGCUUUGUUCGUCUUCAGAACACAAUUUAGGAUAUUUUGGAUGAAAACCGGGAGGCUUGUGACUGUCCCAUGGACUGCCAAGUAAAUUACACUGUUAAGGUCCAGAAAAGUAUGAAAAGCAUUUUGGUGUGGAGAAUCCCUUUAAACCAGAAGAAAACAGAGAACUUAAACAUACAUCUAAAUAAAGUUGAAUGAAAAUGAGACUUACUUUGUGCUUCUUGUCUGGAGUGUGACUGAAUGCAGACUCAAGGUAUAGGCUCUUGUUUUUCCAUUAGAGGGCAGCCUAACCUCACAAAACAAAUAUUUGACUGCUGUGAGCCAUGUUUGAUUUGAUGUGUUUCGCCUGGAGUUUGCCACUAGUAUGAGAGGGUAGGUCAAACACCUAUACAGGUGUAAUGCUGAUGAACAAUAAACAAAAAUAUACUUUUGACAAAUUAAUUCUACAUGCUUCAUAUAAAUAAGGGGUCCUAGAAAUGGACUUCUGUUUAUUGACCCUGAAGCCUGUGACCAGUGGCCUGUUGCAUGAAGCUAGCGAAACAAACUAGUUUCAGAGUUGGUUCAGAUCAGGUUCAGUUGGCUCACAAUGGUCAAUAUAAACUUUCUGUCAACUCAGGGAUCAAUCCAGUGUAAUUAACUACAGUGUGACACGUGCAGCAAAUACAAACCAUGCAGAGAAUCGCUUCUCUGGUAAGAG
rnacentral:lncRNA from 1 species